AGUAUGAGGUAGAUAGGCUGGAGGUGGAAGUGCAGUAAUGUAUGUAGCUGACCAGUACUAAUCGGUCGAGGGCUUAUCCU
rnacentral:rRNA from 1 species